UUCGGGAAGCGAGCGUACACAGGUGCUGCAUGGCUGUCGCCAGCUCGUGUCGUGAGAUGUUGGGUUAAGUCCCGUAACGAGCGCAACCCUUGUCCUUAGUUACCAGCACGUUAUGGUGGGCACUCUAAGGAGACUGCCGGUGACAAACCGGAGGAAGGUGGGGAUGACGUCAAGUCAUCAUGGCCCUUACGGCCUGGGCUACACACGUGCUACAAUGGUCGGUACAAAGGGUUGCCAAGCCGCGAGGUGGAGCUAAUCCCAUAAAACCGAUCGUAGUCCGGAUCGCAGUCUGCAACUCGACUGCGUGAAGUCGGAAUCGCUAGUAAUCGUGAAUCAGAAUGUCACGGUGAAUACGUUCCCGGGCCUU
rnacentral:rRNA from 1 species